UACGGAGGGUGCGAGCGUUGUCCGGAAUCAUUGGGCGUAAAGGGUGCGUAGGUGGCCCGGUCAGCGUGCGGUGAAAGCUCGGGGCUCAACCCCGAGUCGGCCGUGCGAACUGCUGGGCUGGAGCACUGUAGAGGCAGGCGGAAUUCCGGGUGUAGCGGUGGAAUGCGUAGAGAUCCGGAAGAACACCGGUGGCGAAGGCGGUCUGCUGGGCGGUGAACUCGCAAGAGUUCAAUAGCCGACACUGAGGCGCGACAGCGUGGGGAGCAAACAGG
rnacentral:rRNA from 1 species